UACGAAGGGGGCUAGCGUUGCUCGGAAUCACUGGGCGUAAAGGGUGCGUAGGCGGGUCUUUAAGUCAGGCGUGAAAGCCCCGGGCUCAACCUGGGAACCGCGCUUGAGACUGGAGAACUAGAGUUCGGGAGAGGAUGGUGGAAUUCCCAGUGUAGAGGUGAAAUUUGUAGAUAUUGGGAAGAACACCGAUGGCGAAGGCAGCCAUCUGGACCGGCACUGACGCUGAGGCGCGAAAGCGUGGGGAGCAAACAGG
rnacentral:rRNA from 1 species